rnacentral:rRNA from 1 species
ACACUCCUGCGGGAGGCAGCAGUGGGGAAUUUUACGCAAUGGGGGAAACCCUGACGUAGCGACACCGCGUGAGCGAAGAAGCCCUUUGGGGUGUAAAGCUCUGUCAGCUGGAACGAAAACAAUGACGGUACCAGCAGAGGAAGCAUCGGCUAACUACGUGCCAGCAGCCGCGGUAAGACGUAGGAUGCGAGCGUUGUCCGGAUUUAUUGGGCGUAAAGAGUUCGUAGGUGGUUUGUUAAGUUUGGUGUUAAAGAUCGGGGCUCAACCCUGGGACUGCACUGAAUACUGGCAGACUCGAGUGUGGUAGAGGCUAGUGGAAUUCCCAGUGUAGCGGUGAAAUGCGUAGAUAUUGGGAAGAACACCGGUGGCGUAGGCGACUAGCUGGGCCAUAACUGACGCUGAGGAACGAAAGCCAGGGGAGCGAAUGGGAUUAGAAACCCGGGUAGUCC